rnacentral:rRNA from 1 species
AUUGAACGCUAGCGGGAUGCUUUACACAUGCAAGUCGAACGGCAGCACGAGAGAGCUUGCUCUCUUGGUGGCGAGUGGCGGACGGGUGAGUAAUGCAUCGGAAUGUGCCCAGUAGCGGGGGAUAACUACUCGAAAGAGUGGCUAAUACCGCAUAUACUCUACGGAGGAAAGGGGGGGAUCUUCGGACCUCCCACUACUGGAGCAGCCGAUGUCGGAUUAGCUAGUUGGUGGGGUAAAGGCCUACCAAGGCAACGAUCCGUAGCUGGUUUGAGAGGACGACCAGCCACACUGGGACUGAGACACGGCCCAGACUCCUACGGGAGGCAGCAGUGGGGAAUUUUGGACAAUGGGGGAAACCCUGAUCCAGCCAUCCCGCGUGUGUGAUGAAGGCCUUCGGGUUGUAAAGCACUUUUGACAGGGAAGAAACAGCACGAGCUAAUAACCCGUGCCAAUGACGGUACCUGUAGGAUAAGCACCGGCCAACUACGUGCCAGCAGCCCGCGGUAAUACGUAGGGUGCAAGCGUUAAUCGGAAUUACUGGGCGUAAAGGGUACGCAGGCGGCUAGGAAAGAAGGAUGUGAAAUCCCAGGGCUCAACCUUGGAACUGCAUUCUUAACUGCCUAGCUAGAGUAUGUCAGAGGGGGGUAGAAUUCCACGUGUAGCAUUGAAAUGCGUAGAUAUGUGGAGGAAUACCGAUGGCGAAGGCAGCCCCCUGGGAUAAUACUGACGCUCAGGUACGAAAGCGUGGGGAGCAAACAGG